rnacentral:misc_RNA from 1 species
CCCAACUAUCCCUAUUAAUCAUUACGUCAAUCCUAGAAACCAACAAAAUAGAAUCAAACGUCCUAUUUCAUUAUUCCAUGCUAAUGUAUUCAAGCGUGCGCCUGCUUUAAACACUCUAAUUUUUUCAAAGUAACAGUCCUGAUUCCCCACGACACCAAAUUAAUGACAUCGCGGUUCUUCAGAAGGUAGGAACCAAUAAUGCCAGUACGUACCGAGGCACGACCGACAGUCUGAUCCCGAAAUUCAACUACGAGCUUUUUAACUGCAACAACUUUAAUAUACGCUAUUGGAGCUGGAAUUACCGCGGCUGCUGGCACCAGACUUGCCCAA